rnacentral:rRNA from 1 species
CUGAAACUCGCCUACAUGAAGCUGGAGUUACUAGAAUCGCAGAUCAGAAUGCUGCGGUGAAUGCGUUCCCGGGUCUUGUACACACCGCCCGUCACACCACGGAAGUUGGGGCGCCCGAAGCCACUUAGCUAACCCAUUUGGGAAGCGAGUGUCGAAGGUGAAAUCAAUAACUGGGGUGAAGUCGUAACAAGGUACC